rnacentral:lncRNA from 1 species
CGCCGUAUGUGUCAGUCUGGUUUUAUACAGGGUUCAUAUACUGAUCACGUUAACCUCUCAUUAUCCUAAAAAGGUGGCUUAUGCAGUGGGUUCGGCAGUUGGAACUCCUCUUUUUAGACGAUAAAUUCUUUUAAAUUUGGCAAUUAUGUUUGGACUCUCCCCUUUUUUUUUAGAAAUAGGUAUAUGAUUUACCACUGGGCGUUUACGAUCGUCCAUCCUUCAAAACUAAAUUUCGAAUAUUAGAGAUUUGUAAAAACCUUUAUCAAAAUUUCCUAUUUCUAAAGUUUAGAUAGUUUAAUUACGUUUGUUGACCUUUAAGCUAAGAUGGACCUUUAAAUGUUUUUUUUUUUUUUUUUUUUGGGGGGGUUUUUGUUUUUCUAGUUUAAACAUUUUAUUUGUUUAAGUACAAAUUGAAUAAGACACAAGUCAAGCAGACAUAUGAAGUCUUCUCCAUUUAACAUUUAUAGCAAUAUAAUACAAAAGGUUUUUUGUUUCAUUAUGUGACUUUCUCAUUGUCGUUCAACCCAUAUCUACUUUUAACGAAAGACUUUCAAGUACAAUGUUUAGAAAUAUUUAAAAUGUUUAGAGUGUCACGUAUCCCUUCUUUUCAGAACCUGGAAAUAUAGGGCGAAUAUGGACACUCUUAGUUUGUGUUUUCUCUUAGGGACGACAUCAAAAGUUCAAUGUAGGAUAAAAAACUUAAUUCACAUAGUUUUUUUGCUGACCUCCCUACCCCCCCCCCCCUUCUUAACUUAAUUUGGGAAAAAUUGAUUUACCUAUAUGGAUAUAUGUAAAAUCAAUUUUAGAUUAACAAAACUUGCAGUAAUGUUGACCCCCCACCCACAAACUAUUCGAUUUAAGUUUUUUUUAUCCUACAUCGAUCUUUUAAUGUCGUCUCUUAUAUGUAAAGUUGUUGACUUU